rnacentral:rRNA from 1 species
CGGGCAGGUGGUUCGUUAAGUCGUUUGUGAAAAUCCGGGGCUCAACCCCGCGAAAUGCAGACGAUACUGGCGAGCUAGAGAUCGGUAGAGGCUAGCGGAAUUCCUGGUGUAGCGGUGGAAUGCGUAGAUAUCAGGAAGAACACCCGUGGCGAAGGCGGCUAGCUGGGCCGAGUCUGACACUCAUCCGCGAAAGCGUGGGGAGCAAACAGGAUUAGAUACCCUGGUAGUCC